GUGCCAGCAGCCGCGGUAAUACAUGUGGGGCGAGCGUUGUUCGGAAUUACUGGGCAUAAAGGGUGCGUAGGCGGUUUCGUAAGUCUGGGGUGAAAGUCUUCGGCCCAACCGGAGAAUUGCCUUGGAUACUGCGGGACUUGAGUGUGUAAGGGGUAGGGGGAACGAGCAGUGUAGCGGUGAAAUGCGUAGAUAUUGCUCGGAAGGCCAGAGCCGAAGGGGCCCUACUGGUACACAACUGACGCUGAGGCACGAAAGCGUGGGGAGCAAACAGGAUUAGAUACCCUGNUAGUCCACGCUGUAAACGAUGGGUGCCAGAUGUCGGGGGUCUUGGACUUCCGGUGUCGAAGUUAACGCGUUAAGCACCCCGCCUGGGGAGUACGGCCGCNAGGUUAAAACUCANAUGAAUUGACGG
rnacentral:rRNA from 1 species